UUCCAUCUGUUUCUUCCCUUGUUCGUCUGUGUUGUGUGCACGGGUUUUUUUUGGUUUUUUAGUUCUCCGGUUUUUUUGUUCUCCGUUUUUUUCUCCUGUUCCCCUCACGGUACGAGGCCUAACGGCUUAUUUCGUUUUUCGUCCAUUCCCCAAAUCCGAAGUAAGAGAGACUCGAGAGACAGAGAAGCGGCGCGGAAGGGAGGAAAUCGCCGCCGGCAGUCGGCAGUGGGAGAGGAGCCCGUGCGUUGCGGUCGAGUGCAGCACGUUGCGCUCUCCCGCACCGUGCGGGGAUCUGGCAUGCGGAGGUAGUCUUCUUCAUCGUCGCUCGUCGAGCUCCACUGCAAGGAGGAACAGAUUCUGGAUGAGCAGAGGAGCAGAUUCUGGAUGAAGAAGCAACACAGGUAACAGCAGAGAGAAGAAGCAACACAGGUAACAACAGAUGGUCGUGGUACCUGGCUUAGCUGCUGGUUGUUGUCCAACCCAAAUAUUGGAUCACCAGGUUUGGUUCUUCCAUCUCCAUCAUCUUGUUCCAUCUACACCGUUUAGAUCUGGAGUUUUCCUUCCACUUUUGCUAUCUUGCACCUGGUUUUUUUUCAAUUUGGCAACAAUCGAAUUUUCCUCCCAUCGAUUAUCUUGGAUACGAUCACUUGUUUUGUUAUUUUCUUUCACUAUUUUUUUGUCUAGUUGGUUGUUGUUAGUUUUCUGCCUGCUUUUUUUUUUCUUGUUUGAUCGCUUUUGUGUCCAGGCUGACCAGAUGGUCUUUUUUGGUGGAUUGGGUUUUUUUCCCAUGAGAUCAUACUUGGAAGUGUGGGCCAUUUUGGACUAGCAUUUUUAAGUCGUUGCGUGGUAGACAUAAUUUAUCUUUUUGUGACGUAUGCACCAUAUUACAUGACAUGGGAGGCUCACAUGCCACCGGGUGAAAUUUUCUUUGUCUCGUGUUUGGGCCGUUUACCUCAAAUUUCCAAUCUUUUAUCUAUUUUUUAUUUUGAAUUUUUAUUUUCGGUUUCUCACCUACUCCCCUUUCUUCAUUCCGCCCAAUUUCAACACGGCAGAGACACCCGAAGAUAGAGGAGUGGAAAAGAGAGCGAACGGAAGGGGAGAAAUAUCUGCUGGUAGUCGGCGGUCGGGGGCAGGGGUGGGAGAGCCCGCGCCUUCUGGUUGUCAUCAGUUUGCUGUGCCGUUCCGCACAGUGCGGGGGCGAAGGCCACCGUAGUUUCUCCAUCGGCGCGCGUCGAGGUCUGCGCAAAGUUCUGCCAGGUAAACUUGAUGUUCCUCCAUCAUUGCACGUCAACAAGGCCAUGCGUGUGUAGUAGAUUCGUGUGUAGAUUUCUAGCUAGAUGUUUUUGCUCUCUAGGAUAUGGCAAACAUUGAGGAUGCUUCUGGGUAUUCUUGUGCGGGUGAAAUCAGUAGCCUCAAGUGGAUGGAAGUGUUCUAUGUAUAUUUUGGAGAGUAAUUUAGUAGCAGGAUCCCCUUGACUGCCAAGAUACAUUAUGUCUUGCAUCAACUAGUUGCCCUGCACAAACAUACAAUGUAUACACUUUUCAGAUAAAUUUUUCCCAAGUGUAAAUAGAGUGGUAUACAACCCGUAAUUAUAGUUGUAGGUACAUUAUAAAUACACAGAGAUAUCCAUUUUGUAAACCAUCUUUUCUUUUUGUAUAUAGUGUACUUUCAGUGUUAAAUAGUUGUAAUUCACUAGUAGAUUCAGUGUAAAUACAGUGUACAUACAGUCCUCCUGUCCUACAUAAUGUUUGUUCAGUACUUUUCUA